CAGGCUUAACACAUGCAAGUCGAGGGGCAGCAUUUUAUUUUGCUUGCAAACUGAAGAUGGCGACCGGCGCACGGGUGAGUAACACGUAUCCAACCUGCCGAUAACUCCGGAAUAGCCUUUCGAAAGAAAGAUUAAUACCGGAUAGUAUACGAAUAUCGCAUGAUAUUUUUAUUAAAGAAUUUCGGUUAUCGAUGGGGAUGCGUUCCAUUAGUUUGUUGGCGGGGUAACGGCCCACCAAGACUACGAUGGAUAGGGGUUCUGAGAGGAAGGUCCCCCACAUUGGAACUGAGACACGGUCCAAACUCCUACGGGAGGCAGCAGUGAGGAAUAUUGGUCAAUGGGCGAGAGCCUGAACCAGCCAAGUAGCGUGAAGGAUGAAGGCUCUAUGGGUCGUAAACUUCUUUUAUAUGGGAAUAAAGUUUUCCACGUGUGGAAUUUUGUAUGUACCAUAUGAAUAAGGAUCGGCUAACUCCGUGCCAGCAGCCGCGGUAAUACGGAGGAUCCGAGCGUUAUCCGGAUUUAUUGGGUUUAAAGGGAGCGUAGGUGGAUUGUUAAGUCAGUUGUGAAAGUUUGCGGCUCAACCGUAAAAUUGCAGUUGAAACUGGCAGUCUUGAGUACAGUAGAGGUGGGCGGAAUUCGUGGUGUAGCGGUGAAAUGCUUAGAUAUCACGAAGAACUCCGAUUGCGAAGGCAGCUCACUAGACUGUCACUGACACUGAUGCUCGAAAGUGUGGGUAUCAAACAGGAUUAGAUACCCUGGUAGUCCACACAGUAAACGAUGAAUACUCGCUGUUUGCGAUAUACAGUAAGCGGCCAAGCGAAAGCAUUAAGUAUUCCACCUGGGGAGUACGCCGGCAACGGUGAAACUCAAAGGAAUUGACGGGGGCCCGCACAAGCGGAGGAACAUGUGGUUUAAUUCGAUGAUACGCGAGGAACCUUACCCGGGCUUAAAUUGCAACAGAAUAUAUUGGAAACAGUAUAGCCGUAAGGCUGUUGUGAAGGUGCUGCAUGGUUGUCGUCAGCUCGUGCCGUGAGGUGUCGGCUUAAGUGCCAUAACGAGCGCAACCCUUAUCUUUAGUUACUAACAGGUCAUGCUGAGGACUCUAGAGAGACUGCCGUCGUAAGAUGUGAGGAAGGUGGGGAUGACGUCAAAUCAGCACGGCCCUUACGUCCGGGGCUACACACGUGUUACAAUGGGGGGUACAGAAGGCGGCUACCUGGUGACAGGAUGCUAAUCCCAAAAACCUCUCUCAGUUCGGAUCGAAGUCUGCAACCCGACUUCGUGAAGCUGGAUUCGCUAGUAAUCGCGCAUCAGCCAUGGCGCGGUGAAUACGUUCCCGGGCCUUGUACACACCGCCCGUCAAGCCAUGAAAGCCGGGGGUACCUGAAGUACGUAACCGCAAGGAGCGUCCUAGGGUAAAACUGGUAAUUGGGGC
rnacentral:rRNA from 1 species